rnacentral:lncRNA from 1 species
ACAUUUCAUGAACUGAAUAAUUUUUUUCCAGUUUCAAACUAAUUUUUGCUUUUCUUUUUCAUGGAAUGAGUAUGAGUAUGUCGAGUUUGAUUAUUGUAAUUAAAAUGUUUGAAUAUAGGAUUUAUUACUUUAAAAUAGGACUUUUCAAGGUUUGCGUUCAUUUUGUACGGCCGAUGAGUAUGGUGGUGACAAUGAGAACACCCAGAGCAAUAAUAUCACGGAGAUUUAACACUGCCAAAUAAUGAAAGAAUACCAGUGUUGACAAACAUCGCCAUUGCAACGUUAUGGAAUAAGGAACAUAUUAAAAAAUAAUUGAGGGACACGAACUUUACAAAACGUAUUUUGUCAGUUCGCUGUGUCCCUUUUCAUGGACAAUGUCAACAUCGUUACAAACAUGUC